UGGGGAAUAUUGGACAAUGGGGGCAACCCUGAUCCAGCAAUGCCGCGUGUGUGAAGAAGGUCUUCGGAUUGUAAAGCACUUUCGACGGGGACGAUGAUGACGGUACCCGUAGAAGAAGCCCCGGCUAACUUCGUGCCAGCAGCCGCGGUAAUACGAAGGGGGCUAGCGUUGCUCGGAAUGACUGGGCGUAAAGGGCGUGUAGGCGGUUUACACAGUCAGAUGUGAAAUCCCCGGGCUUAACCUGGGAGCUGCAUUUGAUACGUGUAGACUAGAGUGUGAGAGAGGGUUGUGGAAUUCCCCGAGUGU
rnacentral:rRNA from 1 species